GCGGGGGAGGGCGGGGGGGAUUUGUCACGUGGUUCAGGCUUGCCGCAUUACGUCAGCGGGCAGCAGUGACUGGGUGAGCGAGCAGCGGAGUGCAGGUGGAGAGGAGACAAAGCACGCAGAAGUACUUCAAUUUAGUAUCCUACAUGACUGAACACCCACCACCUUACCCUGGGCCAGGCCCAGCAGGUCCAUAUCCAGCUUAUCCACAACAAUAUGAUCCCGGUGCUAAUGUUGCUUACCCUAGCUAUCCACCACCUCCAGGAGCACAGCCUGCAUAUCAAGGAUAUCCACAGUAUGGCUGGCAGAAUGCACCACCUCAACCAGGAAUGGUUUAUACAGAUGUCCCAAAAAAUACAGUUUACGUUGUAGAAGAUCGCAGAAGGAAUGAUACUGGGGAUACAUGUUUGACGGCAUGCUGGACUGCCCUCUGCUGUUGUUGCCUUUGGGAUAUGUUGACCUAAAAUUUCUCGACUACAUUGAAAACCCUACUUCAAGAUUCUCCCUCCUCUAGACCUUCAAAUCAAAGCUCGAAUAAUAACUUUGUUUUAAUCCCAAAAGGUGCCUGUUUGAAAUUUAUUUUUGGUUAUAUAAUGACAUUAGCUUAAUUAAGUAACUGAAUGGCAAGUUAUUGGUGUGAUGCAAUGUCCAUUGAUGGCCUCUCCAAUUAAAGAGCAAUUUAAUUUAUGCAGAUGUUUUUAAAUGUUAUUAAUUGCAAUUAAUUCAAUUUGAUACUGAAUAUUUGCAUUUUGAUUUCUGUUUAUGUAAGAUUAGCAUUGAUUUCCUGUGAAACUAUUUACUAGGUAAGGAAUAACAUUGUACUGUUUUACUAUUCAUCAUUGGAACUAAUAUUCCACAUUAAAGACAGCUGUUCAAUCACAAAUUUUUGAAUAAAGUGAAUUUAUGCUUCAAC